UUUCCUAGCUUGCUAGGAGAUGACGAGCGGCGGACGGGUGAGAAUGCUUGGGAAUAUGCCUUAUGGUGGGGGACAACAGUUGGAAACGACUGCUAAUACCGCAUAACGUCUACGGACCAAAGGAGGGGAUCUUCGGACCUUUCGCCAUUUGAUUAGCCCAAGUGAGAUUAGCUAGUUGGUGAGGUAAUGGCUCACCAAGGCGACGAUCUCUAGCUGGUUUGAGAGGAUGAUCAGCCUCACUGGGACUGAGACACGGCCCAGACUCCUACGGGAGGCAGCAGUGGGGAAUAUUGCACAAUGGGCGAAAGCCUGAUGCAGCCAUGCCGCGUGUGUGAAGAAGGCCUUCGGGUUGUAAAGCACUUUCAGUUGUGAGGAAAGGGAUGUAGUUAAUAACUGCAUUCUGUGACGUUAACAACAGAAGAAGCACCGGCUAACUUCUUGCCAGCAGCCGCGGUAAUACGAUGGGUGCAAGCGUUUAA
rnacentral:rRNA from 1 species